rnacentral:rRNA from 1 species
UACGUAGGUGGCAAGCGUUGUUCGGAAUUACUGGGCGUAAAGCGUGCGCAGGCGGUAAGUUAAGUCUGAUGUGAAAGCCCCGGGCUCAACCUGGGAAUGGCAUUGGAAACUGGCUUGCUAGAGUGUGGCAGAGGGGGGUGGAAUUCCGCGUGUAGCAGUGAAAUGCGUAGAGAUGCGGAGGAACACCGAUGGCGAAGGCAGCCCCCUGGGCUGACACUGACGCUCAGGCACGAAAGCGUGGGGAGCAAACAGG